AGUACUGGUACGGGGGACCUCUAGAGAUUAGAGUUUGAUCCUGGCUCAGAUUGAACGCUGGCGGCAGGCCUAACACAUGCAAGUCGAGCGGCAGCACGGGAAGCUUGCUUCCUGGUGGCGAGCGGCGGACGGGUGAGUAAUGCAUAGAAAUCUGCCCGGUAGUGGGGGAUAACCUGGGGAAACCCAGGCUAAUACCGCAUACGUCCUACGGGAGAAAGCAGGGGAUCUUCGGACCUUGCGCUAUCGGAUGAGUCUAUGUCGGAUUAGCUUGUUGGUGAGGUAAUGGCUCACCAAGGCGACGAUCCGUAGCUGGUCUGAGAGGAUGAUCAGCCACAUCGGGACUGAGACACGGCCCGAACUCCUACGGGAGGCAGCAGUGGGGAAUAUUGGACAAUGGGCGAAAGCCUGAUCCAGCCAUGCCGCGUGUGUGAAGAAGGCCUUCGGGUUGUAAAGCACUUUCAGUGGGGAAGAAAGCCUUGGGGCUAAUACCCUCGAGGAAGGACAUCACCCACAGAAGAAGCACCGGCUAACUCCGUGCCAGCAGCCGCGGUAAUACGGAGGGUGCGAGCGUUAAUCGGAAUUACUGGGCGUAAAGCGCGCGUAGGCGGUCUGAUAAGCCGGUUGUGAAAGCCCCGGGCUCAACCUGGGAACGGCAUCCGGAACUGUCAGGCUAGAGUGCAGGAGAGGAAGGUAGAAUUCCCGGUGUAGCGGUGGAAUGCGUAGAGAUCGGGAGGAAUACCAGUGGCGAAGGCGGCCUUCUGGACUGACACUGACGCUGAGGUGCGAAAGCGUGGGUAGCAAACAGGAUUAGAUACCCUGGUAGUCCACGCCGUAAACGAUGUCGACUAGCCGUUGGGCUCCUUGAGAGCUUUGUGGCGCAGUUAACGCGAUAAGUCGACCGCCUGGGGAGUACGGCCGCAAGGUUAAAACUCAAAUGAAUUGACGGGGGCCCGCACAAGCGGUGGAGCAUGGUGGUUUAAUUCGAUGCAACGCGAAGAACCUUACCUACCCUUGAAAUCGUGCGAACUUUCCAGAAAAUGGAUUGGUGCCUUCGGAACGCACAGACAGUGCUGCAUGGCUGUCGUCAGCUUCGGGUUGUGAAAUGUUGGUUAAGUCCCGUACGGAGGCGCACCCUUGUCCUUAUUUGCCAGGCGAGUCAUGUCGAACUCUUAGGAACUGCAGUGAAACGGAGAGGUGGGGACGACGUCAAGCAUCAUGCCUACGGUAGCCUACACACGGCUACACUGGCGGUAUAAAGGGUGUGUGCAAAGACCGC
rnacentral:rRNA from 1 species